rnacentral:lncRNA from 10 species
GUUUGCUCUUUCCGGCAAUUCCCCAGUGAGGAAGCCCCUGGAGGAAAGUCUUUCGCUACCGUCGGCACUGGAGGGGAAGCCUGGGGAGAGGGGAACUGGCUAAAGGGCAAAAUGUCACUGAGGAACUUCGGAGAAGAUGGGGACAAGGCGUCGGGCGGGGGAGCCAGCGCUCAGGUGAGAACUAGGAAGGGGGCGGCGCCCAGGGACCGGCUCCAGGCGGCGGCGGGCGGGGAGCUGCCAGGAGGAGCCCAGGCACCAUACUGUCUUUUCGAGGUAGGAGUCGACUCCUGUGAGGUAUGGUGCUGGGUGCAGAUGCAGUGUGGCUCUGGAUAGCACCUUAUGGACAGUUGUGUCCCCAAGGAAGGAUGAGAAUAGCUACUGAAGUCCUAAAGAGCAAGCCUAACUCAAGCCAUUGGCACACAGGCAUUAGACAGAAAGCUGGAAGUUGAAAUGGUGGAGUCCAACUUGCCUGGACCAGCUUAAUGGUUCUGCUCCUGGUAACGUUUUUAUCCAUGGAUGACUUGCUUGGGUAAGGACAUGAAGACAGUUCCUGUCAUACCUUUUAAAGGUAUGGAGAGUCGGCUUGACUACACUGUGUGGAGCAAGUUUUAAAGAAGCAAAGGACUCAGAAUUCAUGAUUGAAGAAAUGCAGGCAGACCUGUUAUCCUAAACUAGGGUUUUUAAUGACCACAACAAGCAAGCAUGCAGCUUACUGCUUGAAAGGGUCUUGCCUCACCCAAGCUAGAGUGCAGUGGCCUUUGAAGCUUACUACAGCCUCAAACUUCUGGGCUCAAGUGAUCCUCAGCCUCCCAGUGGUCUUUGUAGACUGCCUGAUGGAGUCUCAUGGCACAAGAAGAUUAAAACAGUGUCUCCAAUUUUAAUAAAUUUUUGCAAUCCAUCUGGAGUGUGUAGUGU